GUGGCUAUAGUUUAGUGGUAGAACAGCGGGUUGUGGUCCCGUUGGUGAGGGUUCGAUUCCCUCUAGCCACC
rfam:Candidatus Buchananbacteria bacterium RIFCSPHIGHO2_01_FTLL_39_14 rifcsphigho2_01_scaffold_1149, whole genome shotgun sequence.